rnacentral:rRNA from 1 species
UACAGAGGAUGCAAGUGUUAUCCGGAAUCACUGGGCGUAAAGCGUCUGUAGGUGGUUUAAAAAGUCCACUGUUAAAAAUUGAAGCUUAACUUCAAAGAUGCCGUGGAAACUUUUAAACUUGAGUAUGAUAGGGGUAGAGGGAAUUUCCAGUGGAGCGGUGAAAUGCGUAGAUAUUGGAAAGACCACCAAUGGCGAAGGCACUCUACUGGGCCAUUACUGACACUGAGAGACGAAAGCUAGGGGAGCGAAUGGG